UCGCGUGGCGUUGCGUACGCAUCGCGUCGUACCCGCCGUUUUGCAACCCGAUUUUAUUUAGAAAGCUAUCGCGCCCCACUUCGGUACACGAAACGAGAUUCCCGGAACGCAUUCCAUGCACUCUCGCACGAUCAAAUUUUAUUCGGAAUUGUUUAAAUAGUUUUUUUUUUUGCAUCGACGUUAGUCUUUUCUUGAGGUGUUUUUAUUCGUUUAUUAUGACAGUGACAGUUGGUUGAUGAUAAGAAGAGGGAAAAUAUUUGUUUAGAUGUUCUAGUAGUUACAAAUUAGUAGUAAAGCGGAGAUAAGAUGAUUAUUGUAAAUAUAAUUAAAACUCAAGUACACUCAUAAACUUGUACGGAGAAUGUGUUUUUAUGUUUUGCAUAAAUUGAUGGCAAAUGAACAUUGAAAUUUCAUGUAAAUUCUUAUAAAUUUUAGGAACAAUGUAGAAAAUAAAACAUUUGUUUGAUGAACCUGUUCAAAUAACGAAAGACAAAUUAAAUAUUAUAUAUAUUAUACAUGAACUUUGCUUUUUUGUCACAUAUCUCAAAAACAAUGGUCUUAAUAUGGGAAGAAAAAAAAUUAAUUCCAGAAAAAAGCCAGAAAUUAAAUAAUUACUCUCCAGAAUUUUGUCGAAAAAUACUUUGGAGUGAUUAAUUCAAGUUCAAUAGAAUAGGAUCAGAUGGUACACACAGUAGAGGAAACGUUAUGGUUUUGGGAUUUCUUGUCUUGGCAUGUUAUAGUACCAUUCCAGAAAACUAUUGAUAACAUGGACCAUUUCGUGUUGCUAACGACCUUUGCGAAUAUCUCGUUGAGUGUAUGCCUUGCCGUUUAUUCGCGGUUAUAACGAACAAAAGGUACCCAAGUUAUGCAUAAAUUAUUUACUAAAUGUAUAUUUUUUUAAUGUGUGCUAUUUGUAUGACGUCACAGCACACAUUAUUUUGUUAAAGCUUUAAGAUAAGUAGAACUUAAAGCAACCACUGUACAUAUUUAAAAAAUUUUAUUUUCUUAAAAAAACAACAAUAUAAGUAAAAGUGAAGGGUUUUAGUUAAUGAAACAAUAAAAAUAGAAAGUCGUUUA